GGGUUGUGAGGUUAAGCGACUAAGCGUACACGGUGGAUGCCCUGGCAGUCAGAGGCGAUGAAGGACGUGCUAAUCUGCGAUAAGCGCCGGUAAGGUGAUAUGAACCGUUAUAACCGGCGAUUUCCGAAUGGGGAAACCCAGUGUGAUUCGUCACACUAUCAUUAACUGAAUCCAUAGGUUAAUGAGGCGAACCGGGGGAACUGAAACAUCUAAGUACCCCGAGGAAAAGAAAUCAACCGAGAUUCCCCCAGUAGCGGCGAGCGAACGGGGAGGAGCCCAGAGCCUGAAUCAGCAUGUGUGUUAGUGGAAGCGUCUGGAAAGGUGCGCGAUACAGGGUGACAGCCCCGUACACAAAAGCGCAUGUGCUGUGAGCUCGAUGAGUAGGGCGGGACACGUGGUAUCCUGUCUGAAUAUGGGGGGACCAUCCUCCAAGGCUAAAUACUCCUGACUGACCGAUAGUGAACCAGUACCGUGAGGGAAAGGCGAAAAGAACCCCGGCGAGGGGAGUGAAAAAGAACCUGAAACCGUGUACGUACAAGCAGUGGGAGCACAGGUUUACCUGUGUGACUGCGUACCUUUUGUAUAAUGGGUCAGCGACUUAUAUUCUGUAGCAAGGUUAACCGUAUAGGGGAGCCGUAGGGAAACCGAGUCUUAACCGGGCGUUAAGUUGCAGGGUAUAGACCCGAAACCCGGUGAUCUAGCCAUGGGCAGGUUGAAGGUUGGGUAACACUAACUGGAGGACCGAACCGACUAAUGUUGAAAAAUUAGCGGAUGACCUGUGGCUGGGGGUGAAAGGCCAAUCAAACCGGGAGAUAGCUGGUUCUCCCCGAAAGCUAUUUAGGUAGCGCCUCGUGAAUUCAUCUCCGGGGGUAGAGCACUGUUUCGGCUAGGGGGCCAUCCCGGCUUACCAACCCGAUGCAAACUGCGAAUACCGGAGAAUGUUAUCACGGGAGACACACGGCGGGUGCUAACGUCCGUCGUGAAGAGGGAAACAACCCAGACCGCCAGCUAAGGUCCCAAAGUCAUGGUUAAGUGGGAAACGAUGUGGGAAGGCCCAGACAGCCAGGAUGUUGGCUUAGAAGCAGCCAUCAUUUAAAGAAAGCGUAAUAGCUCACUGGUCGAGUCGGCCUGCGCGGAAGAUGUAACGGGGCUAAACCAUGCACCGAAGCUGCGGCAGCGAACGUAUCACCCAAGACAACUUUACGGAGUUGACGAUUGACGGAGCGAAGCGACGUCAAAGCGUUCAUUAAAGUCGAGUUGGCUUAGGGAUACGUUCGUUGGGUAGGGGAGCGUUCUGUAAGCCUGUGAAGGUGUGUCGUGAGGCAUGCUGGAGGUAUCAGAAGUGCGAAUGCUGACAUAAGUAACGAUAAAGCGGGUGAAAAGCCCGCUCGCCGGAAGACCAAGGGUUCCUGUCCAACGUUAAUCGGGGCAGGGUGAGUCGACCCCUAAGGCGAGGCCGAAAGGCGUAGUCGAUGGGAAACGGGUUAAUAUUCCCGUACUUGGUGUUACUGCGAAGGGGGGACGGAGAAGGCUAUGUUGGCCGGGCGACGGUUGUCCCGGUUUAAGCGUGUAGGUGUGUGUUCCAGGUAAAUCCGGUUCACUUUAACACUGAGGCGUGACGACGAGGCACUACGGUGCUGAAGCAACAAAUGCCCUGCUUCCAGGAAAAGCCUCUAAGCAUCAGGUAACAUCAAAUCGUACCCCAAACCGACACAGGUGGUCAGGUAGAGAAUACCAAGGCGCUUGAGAGAACUCGGGUGAAGGAACUAGGCAAAAUGGUGCCGUAACUUCGGGAGAAGGCACGCUGACACGUAGGUGAAGUGAUUUACUCAUGGAGCUGAAGUCAGUCGAAGAUACCAGCUGGCUGCAACUGUUUAUUAAAAACACAGCACUGUGCAAACACGAAAGUGGACGUAUACGGUGUGACGCCUGCCCGGUGCCGGAAGGUUAAUUGAUGGGGUCAGCGUAAGCGAAGCUCCUGAUCGAAGCCCCGGUAAACGGCGGCCGUAACUAUAACGGUCCUAAGGUAGCGAAAUUCCUUGUCGGGUAAGUUCCGACCUGCACGAAUGGCGUAAUGAUGGCCAGGCUGUCUCCACCCGAGACUCAGUGAAAUUGAACUCGCUGUGAAGAUGCAGUGUACCCGCGGCAAGACGGAAAGACCCCGUGAACCUUUACUAUAGCUUGACACUGAACAUUGAGCCUUGAUGUGUAGGAUAGGUGGGAGGCUUUGAAGUGUGGACGCCAGUCUGCAUGGAGCCGACCUUGAAAUACCACCCUUUAAUGUUUGAUGUUCUAACGUGGACCCGUAAUCCGGGUUGCGGACAGUGUCUGGUGGGUAGUUUGACUGGGGCGGUCUCCUCCUAAAGAGUAACGGAGGAGCACGAAGGUUGGCUAAUCCUGGUCGGACAUCAGGAGGUUAGUGCAAUGGCAUAAGCCAGCUUGACUGCGAGCGUGACGGCGCGAGCAGGUGCGAAAGCAGGUCAUAGUGAUCCGGUGGUUCUGAAUGGAAGGGCCAUCGCUCAACGGAUAAAAGGUACUCCGGGGAUAACAGGCUGAUACCGCCCAAGAGUUCAUAUCGACGGCGGUGUUUGGCACCUCGAUGUCGGCUCAUCACAUCCUGGGGCUGAAGUAGGUCCCAAGGGUAUGGCUGUUCGCCAUUUAAAGUGGUACGCGAGCUGGGUUUAGAACGUCGUGAGACAGUUCGGUCCCUAUCUGCCGUGGGCGCUGGAGAACUGAGGGGGGCUGCUCCUAGUACGAGAGGACCGGAGUGGACGCAUCACUGGUGUUCGGGUUGUCAUGCCAAUGGCACUGCCCGGUAGCUAAAUGCGGAAGAGAUAAGUGCUGAAAGCAUCUAAGCACGAGGCAACGCC
rnacentral:rRNA from 1 species